rnacentral:rRNA from 1 species
UACGAAGGGGGGCUAGCGUUGCUCGGAUUUACUGGGCGUAAAGGGCGCGUAGGCGGACAGUUAAGUUGGGGGUGAAAGCCCGGGGCUCAACCUCGGAAUUGCCUUCAAUACUGGCUGUCUUGAGUGUGAGAGAGGUGUGUGGAACUCCGAGUGUAGAGGUGAAAUUCGUAGAUAUUCGGAAGAACACCAGUGGCGAAGGCGACACACUGGCUCACUACUGACGCUGAGGCGCGAAAGCGUGGGGAGCAAACAGG